CCCCGUAGUUCUUUGCCCCCGCCGCGCCCGUUGUGCGAUACGAAAGCGGCCACGCGGGAGAACUACAACUCCCAGCAGCCCCCGCGGCCCUUAGCAACCGCGGCGGGCCGGGCCGGGCUGUGGCGGCCUCAGCGGGCUCGGGAGCGGCGCCGAGCCAGGUACGGGGGUGAGGGCGCCCAAACCCAGACACGAAACGGAAGACCGAGAGCGGAACUCGUCAUAUCGUGACAUAUCGUGACGAGACUGUCGGGAUUCGCUUCCCUGAGAAGGGUUUGGGCAGCGGGUCCCCGGUCAUAAAGUUCCGCGAGGUAUCAGGUGACAAAAGUGCUGUGUGAAAUACAACGCCUGUAGGGGAAAAAAUAGUGAAAAACGUGAAAAUUUAAAAAGGAGGAGGAGAUCUGGAGCUGGUCAGCAUUUAUGUUCUGCACCCGAGGCUUUGGCGUGGCGCUGAGGGACGUGCUUUGGUGGUGGCACUGGUGGUAGGGCGAUGGUUGGGCCGGCUGGUCUUGGAGGGCUUUUCCAGCCUUAACGAUUCUGUGGUUCUAAAUUCCAGCGUAAAUGCGACCAGCAGGAUGUGACCACGGAGGCAACAGCACCCUGCGUUCGGUGGCUCUCUUUCUAGCACACGAUUCUCCAUGGUGAAGAUGGUCAGCCAUGGAAAACAUAUUGCGCUAAUAGUCCAACAGCUUAACAAAUUUAACCCAAAAAAUCAGAGCGUGGAGGAUUUCUUGAAUGAAUCAGCUGAGAUGUUGCAGGAACUUGACUGGCUUCCAGCCCACAGUGAGGGAGCAGGAAGCAGGGAAAAUGCGCCCAAAGAGGCAGACUGAGGGCACCAGGGAUCUCCCAAAAAGCAGAGAUAAUGCCAAUCAGCACAUAUUCAGACUAGGGUAGGUCAAUCUCAUGCAUCUUUUUUUGCAGACUGAAUCCUUUCUUUACAGCUUAAUCACUUGGGAAUCAGGAAAAGCUGAAAUUCAAUGUCAUAAGAGAAUAUGGUCAGAUAUUUUUAUGACAUGACAUUACGAACACAUAUAACAAUAUUUUGCUUAUAUACAGUGCAGGCAUUGCUCAGCACAGUAAUAUAUAGGCUCCCGAACAUUAAAAAUACCGAACCAUCCAGUAUUCAUCUACUAUAAACUUACUUCGCUUUAAACAACAAAACAAAAAAAAAUUAGACCCUGUAGCAUUAGAGAUAGAGAGGUUGUUUCUGGAGGCAUAUUUUUCUAGAUUUAUUGUCCUUGAUAUAUUUCAAUAGCUGGUGCAACAAAAGAUGAUAGCUGCAUAUUACUUUCACCUGUAAAUUAUCUGGCCCUCCUCAUGCUGAAGGACACACAGAAG
rnacentral:lncRNA from 1 species